UUUAUGUUAAUUUAAGGUGGUUUAAAGAGAAAUAAUACAUAGUUGCUCAUAUUUUCUCAAAAUAAAGUAAUUUCGCCCUGCAUUUUACCCAUUUUUCAUCCGUUUUUGUCAUUUUUUGUCUUUUUUUAAAAAAGUGGUAUAACUUUUUUGUUUUAAUCGCUAUUAAAAAUUGUCAAAGGAAAAAAGUGUUAAUUUUUAGUCGUAAUUUUCGAAAAGAAAUUGAAAAAAAUUUCUUUUUGAAAAAUGCGAAUUUUAGAACUUUUUAAAAACUAAAAAUUUGAAUUAUUUUGUUGUUUUUCAACGAAAUCAUCUGGCCAACGAACUCAGGCGAGAUUUUGGUACACUUAAGGUGUAUACCAAAUUUGAAGUCGAUUCAUUAAAAUUUGUUCGAGUUAUCGUCGGACCAAAUUUUGUCUACAGACAUACAGACAGACAGACAUUUUUUUAGGACCCAUUUUUUCGGCAUCAGAAAGUCUCAAAACGUCGAGAUUUACUAAAAUUAGAGAAUGCUCAAAAUCGCCCAAAUGUAAUACCUUCUCAUUAUGAUGAGAAUGUAAAAAUAAAUUUUUAUUAAAAAUUAAAAAAAAAAAAAAAUUCGGUAUUUUAUGAGUAAGUUACUUUAAUUUAUGUUAAUUUAAGGUGGUUUAAAGAGAAAUAAUACAUAGUUGCUCAUAUUUUCUCAAAAUAAAGUAAUUUCGCCCUGCAUUUUACCCAUUUUUCAUCCGUUUUUGUCAUUUUUUGUCUUUUUUUAAAAAAGUGGUAUAACUUUUUUGUUUUAAUCGCUAUUAAAAAUUGUCAAAGGAAAAAAGUGUUAAUUUGUAGUCGUAAUUUUCGAAAAGAAAUUGAAAAAAAAUUUUUUUUGAAAAAUGCGAAUUUUAGAACUUUUUAAAAACUAAAAAUUUGAAUUAUUUUGUUGUUUUUCAACGAAAUCAUCUGGCCAACGAACUCAGGCCAGAUUUUGGUACACUUAAGGUGUAUACCAAAUUUGAAGUCGAUUCAUUAAAAUUUGUUCGAGUUAUCGUCGGACCAAAUUUUGUGUACAGACAUACAGACAUACAGACAGACAGACAUUUUUUUAGGACCCAUUUUUUCGGCAUCAGAAAGUCUCAAAACGUCGAGAUUUACUAAAAUUAGAGAAUGCUCAAAAUCGCCCAAAUGUAAUACCUUCUCAUUAGGAUGAGAAGGUAAAAAUAAAUUUUUAUUAAAAAUUUAAAAAAAAAAAAAAAUUCGGUAUUUUAUGAGUAAGUUACUUUAAUUUAUGUUAAUUUAAGGUGGUUUAAAGAGAAAUAAUACAUAGUUGCUCAUAUUUUCUCAAAAUAAAGUAAUUUCGCCCUGCAUUUUACCCAUUUUUCAUCCGUUUUUGUCAUUUUUUGUCUUUUUUUAAAAAAGUGGUAUAACUUUUUUGUUUUAAUCGCUAUUAAAAAUUGUCAAAGGAAAAAAGUGUUUAUUUUUAGUCGUAAUUUUCGAAAAAAAAUUGAAAAAAUUUUUUUUUUGAAAAAUGCGAAUUUUAGAACUUUUUAAAAACUAAAAAUUUGAAUUAUUUUGUUGUUUUUCAACGAAAUCAUCUGGCCAACGAACUCAGGCGAGAUUUUGGUACACUUAAGGUGUAUACCAAAUUUGAAGUCGAUUCAUUAAAAUUUGUUCGAGUUAUCGUCGGACCAAAUUUUGUCUACAGACAUACAGACAUACAGACAGACAUUUUUUUAGGACCCAUUUUUUCGGCAUCAGAAAGUCUCAAAACGUCGAGAUUUACUAAAAUUAGAGAAUGCUCAAAAUCGCCCAAAUGUAAUA